rnacentral:rRNA from 1 species
AACGUAGGAGACAAACGUUAUCCGGAGUUACUGGGCGUAAAGGGCGUGUAGGUGGUAAUGUAAGUCUGGCGUGAAAUUUUUUCGGCUUAACCGGGAAAGGUCGUCGGAUACUGCAUGACUAGAGGACGGUAGGGGAGACUGGAAUUCCUGGUGUAGCGGUGAAAUGCGCAGAUAUCAGGAGGGAACACCGAUGGCGAAGGCAGGUCUCUGGGCGAUUAAACUGACGCUGGAGG